AUUGAACGCUGGCGGCAGGCCUAACACAUGCAAGUCGAACGAGUGGCGGACGGGUGAGUAAUGUCUGGGAAACUGCCUGAUGGAGGGGGAUAACUACUGGAAACGGUAGCUAAUACCGCAUACCAUCGGAUGUGCCCAGAUGGGAUUAGCUAGUAGGUGGGGUAACGGCUAACCAAGGCGACGAUCCCUAGCUGGUCUGAGAGGAUGACCAGCCACUCUGGAACAGGGACACGGUCCAGACUCCUACGGGAGGAAGCAGGGGGGAAUAUUGCACAAUGAGCGCAAGCCUGAUGCAGCCAUGCCGCGUGUGUGAAGAAGGCCUUCGGGUUGUAAAGUACUUUAAGCGGGGAGGCGUUACCCGCAGAAGAAGCACCGGCUAACUCCGUGCCAGCAGCCGCGGUAAUAC
rnacentral:rRNA from 1 species